GUGACACGGGCUAAGUCCUCUAGGAGAUUAGGUGCUGCUGUAAGGUGGUAAACAGAAACUAAAGCUGGAUAUACAAUAGUGUCACAGACUCAAAAAUCCUCAGCCCACCUAGAUCCUGGGAAGGAUCUGUUCACUACCACUAGCACCAUUCUCAACCACCUUCUCCUCUAAAUCAUUACCUUCUAUAAUGGAAGUUCUGAACCCCCACCCCCGACAUCACCGUUCUAUGCCAUGCCUCUUCCUUGACUUGGUCACCCUUAAAUCUCUGUCAAAGCUCUACUGUUUUGGGAGGAUGGAAAAUACCGUCUUGGCUCCUGUGGGCACAUAUACAGCUGUCUUUCCUCUGAUCUAAUCCAAACCAGAAUACCCACCCUUAGCUGCUGCCUGAGCUGGGUCCCUGUUGAGACUGGCGAGGAAGUGUGACUUAUAAUACAAAAAUAUUCUAGAAAUGGAGGAACAACAAUACUAGCUUCAAGCUUCCCAUCUUCCCCCAACUCUGCUUCUCUUCCUGCCUUCCCCACCUCAGUCAAUGGUAUCGUCACCCUCUCAGUCACCCAGACUUGAAACCUCAGAAUCAGCUUCAAUUUCUCCCCCUCUCUCACCCAGAGAAUAUAACCCACUCUGCUUCUGUGGUGUUUCUCCCA
rnacentral:lncRNA from 1 species